UACGUAGGGGGCGAGCGUUGUCCGAAAUUACUGGGCGUAAAGCGCGCGUAGGCGGCUUUCUAAGUCUGGGGUGAAAGGUUCAGCGCUCAACGCGAACAGUGCACUGGAGACUGGGAGGCUUGAGUGUGGGAGGGGGUAGCGGAAUUCCGGGUGUAGCGGUGAAAUGCGUAGAUAUCCGGAGGAACACCGGUGGCGAAGGCGGCUGCCUGGCCUGACACUGACGCUGAGGCGCGAAAGCGUGGGGAGCGAACGGG
rnacentral:rRNA from 1 species